rnacentral:rRNA from 1 species
UACAGAGGUCUCAAGCGUUGUUCGGAUUCAUUGGGCGUAAAGGGUGCGUAGGCGGCGCGGUAAGUCGGGUGUGAAAUCUCGGAGCUUAACUCCGAAACUGCAUUCGAUACUGCCGUGCUUGAGGACUGGAGAGGAGACUGGAAUUUACGGUGUAGCGGUGAAAUGCGUAGAUAUCGUGAAGGAAGACCCAGUGGGCGAAAGGCGGGGUCUCUGGGCCGAUACUGACGCUGAGGAGCGAAAGCCGUGGGGAGCAAACAGG